GACAUGCCAAUUCUGAAUGUUUUGUUGGAGCAAGCAUCAUCGAUAGUUUCAUCGCGUACACUGAAAGGGUUUUUCAGUUCUAGUAACCCUGAGGGAUUCUCGAGAACUGCUCGGAUCAGUUACUAGGCCAUCAGGAGUGGCAGCUAGCCAGGGAUUUACAUGAGAUACAAACAGUCCACACUGCUGUACUGUAACGCCAGGAUGACAAUUUCCAUGUUGUCAUGCAGGUACUAGAAGUCACAGUGAUAAUCUCUGCCUGAAAGGACUGUUGCGUCAACCUAUCUCUUGCAGUUGUGCAAAAGUCAGGACUACAAUUAGAAUGAUUUCCGAAACAAUGAUGGGGUCCAUUGAUGAUAUCUUUCUUGAGGGACUCAAGCGCCUUAUUUCGAUCUUUUUCGGUUGAUCUCAUUCUGAUAGCACACCUGGCCGAACUAACUAAUCGUUUCCUCAAUUUUAAUGUUAAACCCCCGCUUCCUUUGUAUGAGGCAUGCUCCUUAACAAGUUUCUCAAGUGCUCCACGAUAGCAUUUACAGGCAUGGUUUGCGCACUCAACCUUAUUUAUUGCGUGACCCCAUUCUGGUACACAUUGAAGAAGGGUGGAAUAGACAGAACCAUCUCCGUCACCAACGAAAGAAGUAUAACGCAGCCCAUGCACAUUCUCAGCCUCUAUGAAUCCUUGUAGAAUAAUAUCUGUCUCCAUUUCGGAAGAAGAUUUGUUCCAGUUCUUAAAACAGUCAUGUUUGUCUUUAGGAAUCUGUCUUGAGCAGGCAUAACAAAAUUUAUUUCGAACGCCAAUGAAAAGUAACUUGCCAGUCUCUUUGCCGAUAAUGAUGGCAACCCCUGAUUUAGCAUUAUAAGAAUGUUUGUGGGACCGUUUACUCCAACCACCGUCAACAAUAACAGUUAUUGCUGGGACACCCUCGUGAUAGUUUCCUUUUUCUAUAGCUAACUGUUUCUCUUCUCGCCCAGCUUCAAGCAUGGUUUCUCUCAACUGCUGUUCCCAUACUUCUCCAAUAGCUCGCUCAGUGCUAAUAAAACUGGUCUUUGACAUGACUGGAACUCCUACCACACUCAUGGUCUCUUGUAGUUUACUAUGGCCACCACCUGUACUCAUUUGUGCCCACACAGCCGCUAAAUUACACUCCCACCUAUCGAAAUAACACAAUUUUUUUAGAUGACACACUGUAAACUACUUUUACCUGCGAUAACCUUUUGGACCUUUUACUUUAUUGGAUGUCUCCAUUCGGAUUGUGUGUUUACAGAUGGAAUACUGAGCUAUGAUAAUGGACGCUAAACCAUAUCGAAACUCGCCAUUUAAUACAACACUUCCAGAGCAGUGCAUUGAAUGCCUGGAUAGCUCAUCAGAAUAUUUUUUCAGCUGCUCAAUAUUAAUUAUUCUGCUCCCUUGGAUGUUUGCUUCUGCUCCUGUUGAAGUUGAUGCGUCAGUGUCCGAAGUAUCUGGAGUUACUGUAGUUGUAAUAUUUGUUUCUGCUCCUGUUGAAGUUGAUGCGUCAGUGUCCGAAGUAUCUGGAGUUACUGUAGUUGUAAUAUUUGUUUCUGCUCCUGUUGAAGUUGAUGCGUCAGUGUCCGAAGUAUCUGGAGUUACUGUAGCUGUAAUAUUUGUUUCUGCUCCUGUUGAAGUUGAUGCGUCAGUGUUCGGACUAUCUGCAGUUACAGUAUGUAUAGCUGUGUCCUUUUUCUUUAUGCCAAACUUUAUGCCAAAUUUUUUUUUGUACAAUUGUCUUUUAGUAUUCCUUAUUGAAUUGCAUUUGUUCUUCUGGUUAGCCAUGAUGCUUGCUUACUUAUGUUGCAGUUUAGUAUAAUUCUCCUGCUCAGUUUGAACUAGAUUGCAAUUGAGUGGGUGGGGGAAAUUUGACUUUGCGGUCUUUAGCAGGCUGAACGAGCUGGAAGUCCAGCUGAAACGCAGUAGUCAUUUCAUGGCUCGAAUAGACACUUUUAAUCGAUAGCUUAGGUACAGUCUACUGUAGCUUCACUAUAUGCAGGGCGGGUCGAAGAGAUAUUUUGAAAAAAGGCUACUGAAAGCUCACAAGAGGCUGUUUUCCUUGGCUCUGGCCGCCAUUUUAAGUGGAGUUAGUCUACAUAUUUUUAUUUUGUGAGAGUUUGUUGGCCUGGAAAGAAAAAAACGCUUCGACCCGCCCUCCAGAAUGGUAAGAAGCAUCAUAUAAGAGCAAGAACACAGAGCUAGAAGUGUUUUUGGAAGUUUAAAAUGACUACUAGUUUUGUGUUGUUUCUAGUUAACUUGAUGAUCGCUCAGAGCUUCCACUGGAAGAUGUUUUGAAGAUUGAUACUUGUCAUACAGAUUGAUACACCGAUAUAUUUAUCAUGUAUGUGCUUCAAAUUUCUCUCAUGGCAUUUAUAGUUUCACAAAAAUCAUUAUAAGAAAAUCAUGAAUAUUCAUGAGCAAACUGUUUACCGUAACCUUAAAUAGAGAGCAGAAUGAUUCAUUAUCUUUCAUUAUCCUCGAGACAAGAACCGCAAAUCAGUGAUUAGAUUCGAGGUAAGGUCUUUUUUAAGCCGCGGCUAAUUAUCUGAAGUACGGCCACCUCGCUAUUCCGGCCAAGCUGCAUGGUCCCAAGGGUGGCCGGAUUAACGAGAGUCUACUGUAUUUGCUUUCUUAUAGACUUAGGAAUACAACUUUUUUUACAAGUGUUAUAAAAACAAAAGAAUAAGUUACAACUUUCUACAGGUGACCAACCUCUAUCUAUUUUCACUGGACUCUGCGUAUAGCUGCAUGGCUAUAUUAUGUGCGCGCACAUACAUCUAUAUAUCUCUAUACUAUCUACCAUAAUUAUAGGGCCACGUUCCCAGGCCCACAUUUGUCUCUAUAGUUGUCAGACCUCCUCUGCAUGGUUUAGGUGCGUUACAAUUGCUGUGCUAAUAUUUAAUUAAAUAGAAGCAGAAUGAUCCUGAUAUUCCAGACCACGUGGUGCAUUUUAUAGAAUGUACAUACGUAGUAUGAAGCAAAGCUAAUCACAUGUACAGUUAUUGUAUGAGUCACUGACCAUGCAUCUAUACUUCGCAUCGUUGAGUCCAGCAUUCAAGUACCCCAUAGUAUAUGCAGACAGACAAGUACAAGUACGCACAUGCAUCUGAUUCAUUUCUGACAGAGAGAAGGAUCAGUGGUGGUAACCUAAAUCUUGCAGUGCAUGUGCUAUGGGUUUAAAGUAAAAUUUACUAGCAAUGACACAAUACUAAAUGCAGUGAUGACUAGAUGUUCGUGCUCUGCGAAGUCGAUUACUAUACAAUCAGACUUUGUAGCAAUUCAAUCAACAGAACGGUCGAUCAACCUGGUGGAGUGCUAUUGCUUCACUGAUUAGCUCUUUGGGAGGCCUAUAUUAUAUCACAUGGUACGUAGGCAUGCUUAGACCAAAGAAAAUUAUGUUGAGCAAAUGUGUCAAUGAGGCCAGAUGCCUCAGAGCUUAAUUAUAGCUUUCUAUAGCAAUUUUAAAACACUCAGUGACACGAAACUGACAACUUUACAGUCCAUUUGCUCCCAAUAAUCACAUAUUAAAAGUAACUUGUUUAUACGAACAAUUAUACAGCAUAACAAAAAUAAUAGCAAUUGUUAUGAAAGUGUUAUUCGCUUACCAUUCGUAAGUGAUGAUAUUACUGACUGAUCAUGACUCAGCCACUCUGACACCCACUAACACAAAUAGAGAGCUGUAGUGUGGAGCACUUAAUGAGUGAGUCCUGCGUGUGUGUGUGUGUGGGUGGGUGUGUGUGUGAGGUAAUGUUUCUAUUCCCACAAGUUAGUAGAUAUCUAGUAACACUGAUACACACACUGUAGCAGUUAAAAUUACAAGUCCUAUGGCUCUCACACACUUCCUGCAAUUGAUGACCUAUAAUGAGUAUGCAGUAACUAGGACUUCGCCCACACACUAUAGGUACUAGCUGAAGACUUAAUAGAGCUACCACACAGGAUGUGAAACAUGAACUGGUGUGGUUACAAAAUGCGACACUCAAUAGGCCGAUGACAUAAGAGUACAGCAAAUAUAAGGACUUCACGACACCCACACAAUAGUUAAUUAUGUAUAGCUGAAGACUUAUAGCUGCCACAUGCACAGGAUGUGAAACAUGCACUGGUGCAUGGAAGGUUACAAAAUGGGACACUCAAUGGGAAUGCAUUGUGGUGCUCUCCCACCAGCGCAAGAAUAACUAUAAUGACAUACGCAUGCAGCGGAAAGUCUGAUUCCAAUUCCCUAUUCCAGCAAAGAAUAGUAAAUCUUGAAUAUCAAUCCGAUUCCAGCUCCUUAUAGAGUAUAAAAGGAGCGAUUUGAUUGACAAGUUAUAACAAGCCAGCAAUUCCAUGCAACAUCAAGUAAGAAGACAAAUCAGCUUAUCCUUUCAUCAGUCAAGAAGAAAUAGCCCAAAUUGAACACUCUAUAAUGACAAUGAAGAUUGUGCUUGUCGUAGUCGUACUGGUGGCUUGCCUUGCUGCAGUCAAUUGUCAAGAUCCUUUUUGCUUGAGUAAUGGAUUGCGAGAUAAUGCGAACCUUCAAGAAUGCAACACCAUGUUAGCUACCGCUGCCACCAACCUUGAGGCUUUUUGUCAACUGCCCUGCAUCAACGGUUAUGCAGCACUUCUCACCACUUGUCAAUUACCAAACAGCAUAACACAAUUUUGCCCCAACGCUGGUGCUAACGAUGCUGCAUCUACUGUUGCCGUGCCAAUGAUGGUGCUCACUGGACUUAUUGCGGCUUUGGCGUCACUGUUUUAAGCAGACACAACGUCAAAGAUACUAUAUACUGAUAUUCGAACACAGAUAUUAUAUAGUGCUAUAGCUCUAGAGAACUGAAUACAUGCACAUGCAUGUAUUCAGUAAAUUAUAGUCUUUUAUUCAGCUUGAUUUGUGUGAAAAAACACCAAAUUUUAAGUUUAUCUCCAAUAUGAA